UACGUAGGGUGCAAGCGUUGUCCGGAAUCACUGGGCGUAAAGCGCGCGUAGGUGGCUUCAUAAGUCCGUUGUGAAAGUCAAAGGCUCAUCCUUUGAAAGCCGAUGGAUACUGUGGAGCUAGAGUACGGAAGAGGCGAGUGGAAUUCCUGGUGUAGCGGUGAAAUGCGCAGAUAUCAGGAAGAACACCCGUGGCGAAGGCGGCUCUCUGGGACGGUACUGACGCUGAGACGCGAAAGCGUGGGGAGCGAACAGG
rnacentral:rRNA from 1 species